UACGUAGGGGGCAAGCGUUGUCCGGAUUUAUUGGGCGUAAAGAGCGUGUAGGCGGCUAGGUAGGUCCGUUGUGAAAACCCGAGGCUUAACCUCGUGGCUUGCGGUGGAUACGGGCAGACUAGAGGUAGGUAGGGGAGAAUGGAAUUCCCGGUGUAGCGGUGAAAUGCGCAGAUAUCGGGAGGAACACCGGUGGCGAAGGCGGUUCUCUGGGCCUUACCUGACGCUGAGGAGCGAAAGCGUGGGGAGCGAACAGG
rnacentral:rRNA from 1 species